UCUAGAAGUAGCUGAUGGCAUUUGUGCUCACUCUGAUUCCUCUCUCCACACACACACACACACACAGUGUGAAUGCUUCACUCUCUUCUUUACAGUGCAAAUAUGCUCAUUUGAUGUUCCUCCAUGGGGGACAAACAAUCCUUAUGAGGUGGAGAGAUAGACCAGUGCUGGGAACAGUGAUUGCAAGGGACUGGUCUGUGAUGAGUGCACUGGGGCCCCUUGAGCAGGGGGCCCAGAAAAUAGGGUCACAGACCAGACUAUUUUGGUCACUGUUGGUCCUUCAAGAGUAUUCAUGGAGGCCUGGCUGUGGAAGGGACAGGGUUGUGUGCCCCCAUCCUGUACAGUCACCAACUUCAGCUCUUCAGUGGUGCUUUAUGCAGCAGGAAACUUCCUGGAGGUUGUUCUUGGUAGCAACUUUGAAAGAACACUUGAGCCUUCAGGCACUGCCCUGAGGAGAUCCCCUUUCCUUUUGGAGCUCGGUUCUCUUUGUUAUGGGUAAUC